rnacentral:rRNA from 1 species
UACGUAGGGUGCAAGCGUUGUCCGGAAUUAUUGGGCGUAAAGAGCUCGUAGGCGGUUAGUCGCGUCUGCUGUGAAAACUCGGGGCUUAACUCCGGGCCUGCAGUGGGUACGGGCUGACUAGAGUGCGGUAGGGGAGACUGGAAUUCCUGGUGUAGCGGUGAAAUGCGCAGAUAUCAGGAGGAACACCCGUGGCUAAGGCGGCUCUCUAGUACGGUACUGACGCUGAGACGCGAAAGCGUGGGGAGCGAACAGG